rnacentral:tRNA from 1 species
GGGCCCGUAGUCUAGCGGCUAGGAUGCCCGCCUUACAUGGCGCCCGCGCCGACAACGCCUAGGUGCGCGGGAGAUCCCGGGUUCGAAUCCCGGCGGGCCCA